rnacentral:rRNA from 1 species
GAUGAACGCUGGCGGCGUGCCUAAUACAUGCAAGUCGAGCGGAAAGAUGAGGAGCUUGCUCCUCUGACGUUUGCGGCGGACGGGUGAGUAACACGUGGAUAACCCACCUAUAAGACUGGGAUAACUUCGGGAAACCGGAGAUAAUACCGGAUAAUAUAUUGAACCGCAUGGUUCAAUAGUGAAAGACGGGUUUGCUGUCACUUAUAGAUGGAUCCGCGCCGCAUUAGCUAGUUGGUAAGGUAACGGCUUACCAAGGCGACGAUGCGUAGCCGACCUGAGAGGGUGAUCGGCCACACUGGAACUGAGACACGGUCCAGACUCCUACGGGAGGCAGCAGUAGGGAAUCUUCCGCAAUGGGCGAAAGCCUGACGGAGCAACGCCGCGUGAGUGAUGAAGGUCUUCGGAUCGUAAAACUCUGUUAUUAGGGAAGAACAAAUGUGUAAGUAACUAUGCACGUCUUGACGGUACCUAAUCAGAAAGCCACGGCUAACUACGUG